rnacentral:lncRNA from 1 species
AAAGAUUUUAUGAUGAUUUUGCUUGGUUGAUUUUGGGUGACUUAUCGGCUUCUAGGGUUUUUGACGGUCUAACCUGAGGUUUUACUGUAUUCCGGUGGCUCGAUUAUCACUUUGAGGACACUUUGGGUGCAUUUCCGGCGUUGCUGGCCAGAUUUCCGGUAGAAUUUGUUUUCAAAGUUGUACCUAGGGUUUCUCUACUGUUUGAAGGCCGAUCUUCACCGGUCACGAAGAAGGAGGGUAACUCUGUCCUUAUCUUCAAUAUUAUAUGUGAUUAUUUGACUCUGUUAUUGUGAGCAUCUGGUGUUGUCUGUGAAUAUUUGACCUAACUGUAGUCUGUUUGUUGGUUGCUGUGUUUGAAUACCUGUUUUGGUAGUAUUCUGUUUGUUGAAAAGUUAUUCAUUGAAGCCGGUUCAUUAUGGCUUCUAGCACAAACACUGGUGCCUCUACUGCUGUAGAUUCUUCUAGUCCCCUUUUUGUGUACUCGUCUGAUGUCCCUGGGGUAUCACUUGUUCCCACUCCCUUCUCGGGUAGUGGUUAUGGGGGCUGGAG